CCUACGGGAGGCAGCAGUGGGGAAUAUUGGGCAAUGGGCGCAAGCCUGACCCAGCAACGCCGCGUGAAGGAAGAAGGCUUUCGGGUUGUAAACUUCUUUUCUCAGGGACGAAGCAAGUGACGGUACCUGAGGAAUAAGCCACGGCGAACUACGUGCCAGCAGCCGCGGUAAUAAGGAGGGGGCAAGCGUUCUCCGGAUUUACUGGGUGUAAAGGGCGUGUAGGCGGGGACGCAAGUCAGAUGUGAAAACCACGGGCUCAACCUGUGGCCUGCAUUUGAAACUGUGUUUCUUGAGUGCUGGAGGGGCAGACGGAAUUCCUAGUGUAGCGGUGAAAUGCGUAGAUAUUAGGAGGAACACCAGUGGCGAAGGCGGUCUGCUGGACAGCAACUGACGCUGAGGCGCGAAAGCGUGGGGAGCAAACAGGAUUAGAUACCCCAGUAGUC
rnacentral:rRNA from 1 species